GACAAGGAAUGUAGAGAAGAGUUGA
rnacentral:piRNA from 1 species